UCAUCUUCAUUAGGUAUCCGCCGUACUAACCCGGCCGAACACCGGCUUCCAUCGGCGCUGCCUUUUUUCUCUGAAGUUCGUGCAGACAAGAAAUUGAAAAUCAGGAAGAGGCAUAUUUCGCGUUUGUGCGUGAAUCUAACGACUCUUUUCAUCAGAAAAACUGUUGUUGUUUGCUAGAUUCACGCACAAACUCGUAAUAUGGCUUUUCCAAUCUCUGCGCUUUGAUUUCUCCAGUUGGUGUGACUCUGACCUGACCUCUUUUUUCCAUCUGUGUUUCCGUGCUCUAUACUGAUUUGAUUGAUUCUCAUCUAUCAUUUGCAUUAGCUACGAAGCUCUUUGGAAAUGGAUAAGCCUCUUUUAUUGCAAUACUAAUACUUCAAAAUCUGCAUCUGCUCUCUUGAAUUUUGAAGAAUGGACUCUGUUUUACAUUAGAAAUCCAUGAUUCAUCUGUUUGUUUAUCUAUUUUGUAGCAUGCGUUAGUAGUUAAUGUAUUGGGGGUAGAGGAUGGACUUAUUGAACCUUUCUUUCUUUUUGUUUUUCUUAUGGAUCUGAAUUGAUAUAAAGGAUUCAUUUUGGUGACCUGAGUAAUAAUGGUUUAGAUGGUUUGGGCAUGUGAAGAUGUGAUGCAGAGACUCCUGUUGGUUAUACUAGGUAUGAAGAGAGAUAGUAGACUGAAAAAGUGUUGGAGAGAGUUCGAUUAGACCGGACAUGACUCAGUUUCAUGUUACCGAGGGCAUGACCUUAGUUAGGAAAGUGUGGAGAACGCGUGAUGACCUUAGAUGGGUAAGUGUGGAGCUUGCUCGGUAGAGUAGAUAUUGGAGUGGUGUGUUGGUGUCCGAGAGUCUAGGCUUGUUGGCGUUUUGUCAUUGUACUGGAGGUGUUAUUAUAGUUCUUGAUUGUGAUAUCUAUCAUCACCGUUGUUUAUUGUGAUUCCAUUAUCACGAUAUUUUGUUGUUUUUGGUCCUUUUUUGGGGAUUUGCAGUGCCCCUUGUUAGUUGCUAUGUUUUUACCACAGUUUUCUUCUUUCUUGUAAUUGGAUUUGUUGUAUAAGCCAAGUGUCUUUCGGAAACAAUCUCUCUAUCUCCCCAAGUUAGUGGUAAGGUUUGUGUCAUUCUACAUUCCCCAUACCCCAAUUUUGAGAUUUCACUGGAUAUGUUGUUCUGUUGUGUUGUUGCAGUAAUUUUGAUUGUGAUAUUUCACUUGCUUAUGUUCAUGGUUCCCAGUUAUGUUGCUUGGACUCUCCGAAAAAAGAAGUCACACGUGUCGUAUUCUUCAAAGAUAUACUACUUCUGGAGAACUCGACACGUACCAGUUGCCAUUUUUAAAGAGCUCGAGCAACAUAGCCCCCAAGGUUCAUUACUUCUCAACCAAAAUAAGAGGGAGAAUAAGGGGAAUACAGUCUCUUGGAAGUUAUCAAUUUAAUAAAGGAACACUGAUCUUUCACUUCUCCCGCAAUAUAAACAUCUCUCAUUUGGCACUAAGAGUUGACUAAUGCUUGAACAGGUUCGAAAAUCGUGGAACAGUUAUGAUAACAACUUCAUCAGUGAAUGGAGAAGCAGGAGGUAGAAUGCCAACAGCAUCAACUACCCAAUGGAUAAGAAUAGAUGGUGAAUUCAUAGUAAAUCAGCAGCAGAUAUAUGAGGCUCUUGACUUGCAUUUUUGAUUGAUGUUGAUGGUACCAAGCCAGCUCAAGUGAAACAAUCAUAACUUCCUAAUGAGAAUUCAAUCCCUUGCCAGCUGUGGAAAUCAACUUCAAAUUCACGAAUUUGCUUUUGGAGGAAGAUGGUUAACUUUGGUGUUAGCAGUUUUGUGAACUUUGUAAGAUCCAGAAAAGGCUUAAUGAGGGUUCUUUUUACCUGUUCUAUGACAUUCAUGAACACGGGUUGGGUUGAAGGGAAAAAUGAAAGUGAACAGAUACUUAUCAAAGGAAAAAAUUACUUUUUCAUUCCAACAUGAAUUUCCAUCUGCUGUAUGAAGUAUUAAGUGAAUUGUUGAUCAUAACCAUCAGAAAUAU